rnacentral:piRNA from 1 species
UCUGAGCGAGCCUAUCUAGAUAAUUUGAA